AAAAUUAUAUUCCAUGAUAGUAUUUUACGUUAAUGUUAUUUUAAUGAUAAAAUAAUAUUUAAAUUAAAACAUUUGCUUAAUCCUUGGAGGUAUUAUUGACUACCUAAUACCUAUUGUAUGUACUAACAAACGACAAAUUACGAUUCGUUGAUAAUUUAAGUUCGCUUAUAAGAAGAGGUAGGUAAUUGCUGUGCUGUAUAGUUGGAAUCGAGUAUAUCCCGUCAUUGAUGUCCUAUGAUGAGGAACUUCGAAGCUUACUGUACAGCAGAGCAGUCAACUACUUGCCCACAUUUUAUUCAUAAUGGCUCAUUCAAAUUAACAUAUUAGUUUAAGUCACGUUCACCAGUCGGUGUAAACAUAAAUAAUAUAUACUGGGAAUCAGCCAUAAAGUCUUUAGGUUAGGUAAGUUA